rnacentral:rRNA from 1 species
CGCACGGGUGAGUAACACGUAUCCAACCUGCCGUCUACUCUUGGACAGCCUUCUGAAAGGAAGAUUAAUACAAGAUGGCAUCACGAGUCCACAUGUUCACAUGAUUAAAGGUAUUCCGGUAGACGAUGGGGAUGCGUUCCAUUAGAUAGUAGGCGGGGUAACGGCCCACCUAGUCUUCGAUGGAUAGGGGUUCUGAGAGGAAGGUCCCCCACAUUGGAACUGAGACACGGUCCAA